CUCGUGUCGUGAGAUGUUCGGUUAAGUCCCGCAACGAGCGCAACCCCUACGUUAGUUGCUAACGCGUGAAGGCGAGCACUCUAGACGAACUGCCGUUGACAAAACGGAGGAAGGUGGGGAUGACGUCAAAUCAUCAUGCCCCUUAUGUUCUGGGCUACACACGUGCUACAAUGGCCGGUACAGACGGACGCAAAGCCGCGAGGUGGAGCAAAUCCUAAAAAGCCGGUCUCAGUUCGGAUUGCAGGCUGCAAUUCGCCUGCAUGAAGUCGGAAUCGCUAGUAAUCGCAGGUCAGCAUACUGCGGUGAAUACGUUCCCGGGCCUU
rnacentral:rRNA from 1 species